rnacentral:rRNA from 1 species
UACGUAGGGUGCAAGCGUUUGUCCGGAAUUAUUGGGCGUAAAGAGCUUGUAGGCGGUUUGUCGCGUCCGCUGUGAAAGUCGAGGGCUCAACCCUCGAAUGCCGGCGGAUACUGUCGGGCUAGAGUCCGGAAGAGGCGAGUGGAAUUCCUGGUGUAGCGGUGAAAUGCGCAGAUAUCAGGAGGAACACCGGUGGCGAAGGCGGUUCUCUGGGCAUUACCUGACGCUGAGGAGCGAAAGUGUGGGGAGCGAACAGG